GCUGGCGGCGUGCCUAACACAUGCAAGUCGAACGCGAAAGUCCCGCAAGGGAUAAGUAGAGUGGCAAACGGGUGAGUAACACGUGGGUGACCUGCCUUCGAGUGGGGGAUAACGUCCCGAAAGGGACGCUAAUACCGCAUAACAUCCUGCCUUUGAAGAGGUGGAGAUCAAAGCUGGGGACCGCAAGGCCUAGCGCUCAAAGAGGGGCCCGCGCCUGAUUAGCUAGUUGGUGAGGUAACGGCCCACCAAGGCUACGAUCAGUAUCCGGCCUGAGAGGGCGGACGGACACACUGGGACUGAGACACGGCCCAGACUCCUACGGGAGGCAGCAGUGGGGAAUUGUUCGCAAUGGGCGCAAGCCUGACGACGCAACGCCGCGUGGAGGAUGAAGACCUUCGGGUCGUAAACUCCUUUCGAUCGAGACGGAUGGCUUCCGGGUGAACAAUCCGGGAGAAUGACGGUACCGAGAGAAGAAGCCCCGGCUAACUCCGUGCCAGCAGCCGCGGUAAUACGGGGGGG
rnacentral:rRNA from 1 species